rnacentral:rRNA from 1 species
UACAGAGGGGGCAAGCGUUGUUCGGAAUUACUGGGCGUAAAGGGCGCGUAGGCGGCCUUCUAAGUCGAACGUGAAAUCCCCGGGCUCAACCCGGGAACUGCGUCCGAUACUGGAAGGCUUGAAUCCGGGAGAGGGAUGUGGAAUUCCAGGUGUAGCGGUGAAAUGCGUAGAUAUCUGGAGGAACACCGGUGGCGAAGGCGACAUCCUGGACCGGUAUUGACGCGUGAGGCGCGAAAGCCAGGGGAGCAAAGCGGGAU